rnacentral:ncRNA from 1 species
AAGGAACAAGCCGAAAAUCCUCAAUAGAGUAGGCA